GAUGAACGCUGGCGGCGUGCCUAAUACAUGCAAGUCGAGCGAACGGACGAGAAUCUUGCUUCUCUGAUGUUAGCGGCGGACGGGUGAGUAACACGUGGAUAACCUACCUAUAAGACUGGGAUCACUUCGGGACACCGGAGCUAAUACCGUAUAAUAUCUUGAACCGCAUGGUUCAUAAGUGAAAGACGGUCUUGCUGUCACUUCUCGAUGGAUCCGCGCUGCAUUAGCUAGUUGGUACGGUAACGGCUUACCAAGGCAACGAUGCAUAACCGACCGGCGAGGGUGAUCGGCCACACGAGAACGGAGACAGGGUCCUGAGUACUACGGGAGGGAGCAGUAGGGAAUGUUCCGCAAUAGGGGGAAGCCUGGCGGAGCAACGGCGCGUGAGUGAUGAAGGUGUUCGGAUCGGAAAACUCUGUUAUUAGGGAAGAACAUAUGUGUAAGUAACUGUGCACAUAGUGACGGUACUUAAUCAGAAAGCCACGGCUAACUACGUG
rnacentral:rRNA from 1 species